CUUGUCAAUUAAUUAUAAGAUGGGGUUUAUGUUUUUUGAAAGUUGUAUUAAUGUAUUGGGAGUUAGAAACAUUUUUAAUAAUUUUAAUUCAAGAGAAAUCAAAAAUUUUUCUCUUGAAUCGAUUGAGAAAUUGAAGAGUAGAAGGAGACACCAAAAGUGACGGUAACUUGAGAGAAAAAGAGAGGAGUAAUUUUUUUUUUAUAACUUUUCUUUAUAUACCUAGGCCCAACCCUCACUUACUCCUUUGCCACAUGUCAUCACAAGAUCUAAUCUUGUUAUUAUUUGAUUUAAUCACAUGAAGCAAGUGAGAAGCUCCAUUUAAAUCAUGACAUGUGAUCUUUCAUCAUAGGAAGGCAAGUGGCAAGAUCAUAUGGUGCCAUGUGUCGCCAUUUCAUAAUAUCACAUGUCAUCAUGUGAAAAGACUAAUUUGCCCUUACUUUUUAAUUUGAG
rnacentral:misc_RNA from 1 species